GACGAACCGUGCGAACGUUGUUCGGAAUCACUGGGCUUAAAGGGCGCGUAGGCGGGCUGCCAAGUCUGGGGUGAAAUCCCACGGCUCAACCGUGGAACUGCCUCGGAUACUGGCGGUCUCGAGGGAGGUAGGGGGCAUGCGGAACUGUGGGUGGAGCGGUGAAAUGCGUUUGAUAUCCACAGGAACACCGGUGGCGGAAGGCGGUUCUCUGGGCAUGUCCUGACGCUGAGGAGCGAAAGUGUGGGGGAGCGAACAGG
rnacentral:rRNA from 1 species